UUCAGUGACAGAAUUUAUUCAGUACAUUGCACAUGCACAGCACUAUACAGCAAGUGGAAGGUCACUUGAUUAAUCCUUGCUCUAAAGGUGUAAGUGGAUAUGAUUGUAUGCAAUACAAAACCAAUACAUAUUGAUUACCGUGACAAUGCUCCACUGAACAGAUGUUUCUUGAAAAGAGAGUGGAAGCAGUUUGGUACAGGAGGUCUCCUUUGCCCUAUCCAGUAAUGGUAAGGUAAACCAGGACCUUACCAGAGUGCUUCAUGGUUUCUGUGGUGUAGCAACAGCCCCAAUGCCAACCUGUCACAAAUAGCAUUGUCAGAGAAAAACCUGUAGUGAAGUUCAUAUAGCCAUACAUCCUCUGGACCUCCCAGGAUGCCCCACAGUACCCCAGUGCAAAGGCUGGGUUACUCUCCCAGAAUGUGGUCGUGAAUCACUGCUUGGCAUACAUAGCUGUCCUCCCAGAACCGGUUCCUUUGAGGCUCUUAAAAUGCUCAUACAAGACAGACGUGAGUCUGCAUUACCCCAAAAGGGCUGUUUAUGGCCAGCUUCAAACUCCAUGCAGUUACGGUCACCCAUGCAGACAACCUCCAAGUGUCUGGUCUGUUGAAUAAGACAGACUAGCCAAGGACUUGUCUCAGGAAUACAGAGAUGCCUGUUUGGUGAAGGGCUGAGGCCUUGAAGAAGGUUACGCGGGGAUGCAUGCUCAACCCUAAUGGACAUGGCUGUUGAAACUGAUUUGCUCUCACAGGCCUCAGCUCCCCCUCUGCCUGCUCUGUGGUGGAUCCACACUGGCAUGUGGAGGGGGAAAUGACACAAGUGUGAAAAAAACACAUCCCUCCUAUUUAUGGGGAAGUAGGCAGCAUCAAGUACAGGGAAUCAUGUGAAAUUGCUGGUCAGGCAACAAGAGACGAACACAAACUGAGCGGGAAUGGAAAGAAAAGAAGAAAAGAUAGAUGAUGCAAGGGAAUCAGACAUGUCAGUUGUCGUGACUUUCAGGACAUCUAUUUCUCCGUUAAUGAGAAUGUCUUGUUCCUGGUGAAUCUGCAAAUCCCUGACUCUAGAAUUUCCUCUUAAGGCUUCAUUUUGCUAGCAAAAAAGUAAUAAAGACUUUGCUGUCAUAUGAGGAGGCUUUCCACUGAGGUCACUGGGGCCAUUCCAGUAGGAAACUGGUGGGAGACGAGAAUCAGGUUAUGUGUGCUUGAGCAGGUCCAGGGCGUGGUGGCCACAAGUGUUCCUGCUCCCAUAGCUAUCUGCUGGGGUCUCAGCUAGCAAAACUACUUCAAAACAGGUAUUUAUUACUUGAGGCGUAAGCUUAUUACAAUGUUUGGGGCAUCUUCCCCCCAGCUCACUAGAAUGCAAUUUAGUGUUGGAAAAGCUGACAUAAUUCCAUACAACCUCUAGCUGCUGGCUGUUCAUCUGCCUGUGUUAUUGGGCUGAUCAAAGCCUUGAUGUGGAAGCAUGACUUGUGAGUGUGUCUGGAGGUGCAGCUUAAUCACAAGGGCUCGCCUUUCCACACAACAGCAAGCAGCCAGGAGAGCUUAUAGAAAUGUGCUGGAGAGUCAGAAUUAACCAUUAGAAGGCUCUGGGAAUCUUCUGUGGAAUACAAGGAAGAAGGAGGGUGAGAGACAGAGUUAAAAAAUCAUGCAAGACUCUUGUGAGAACCCUGAUUCAGCAAAAUAUGUAUUUCUCUAACUUUGGGGCUGUCUCAGCUUAAUAAAGUGGUUAAGCAGACCCAUAAUUUUACUUACGGCAAGUAUCUUAGCCUGCACAUAUUGUUGAGCACAUGCUUAAAUGCUUUUCUGGGUUGUGAACCAGCUCUCAGUAAAAUGAUCUGGUUACUGCAUAUUCAUUUGAAAUUCCCAAAUUGCGUAGGUACUUCCAACAAUGAACAUCUGCUCCGGAGGUGGUGUCACAUGAGAUAUUUGGCCUUUUUAAUGUGGAUGACAAGUUACUAAAAACCUGUUUCUCUCCAUUUAGCAUCAUUGUGGUACUACUGUGUGCUGUGCACACCGAAGUUUCCUCUGUGACUGUAGAACAUUUUAUCUGGUUUAGGUUUAUUACCUGGCUGAAGAGGAAACAGAAAUGCUUUUAGGCUUGGUUGUUACAUUUCAUAGAACAGUCUCAUGAACAUGUUGAACAGAUUGACAGGAGUAUAUUUAAAUAUAAUUAGAUACAGUGAACUCACUUGUUUGAAGGUUUAGCUUUGGUAAAGACAUAUUUAUAAGCAUUCAGUUUCCUGACAAUUUCGUUACAAAUGUGACACAGACACAACUGCUUCUGCACUCUCACACAAUUCUUAUUUAGAAUUUCAGCAGAACCUCAUUGUUGCUGCUAAGUUGUAGCUGUAUUUUGUGAAAAUGUGUUUUACUCAAAAUUCUUCAAAACUCUCAUUGACUCCAUUCUGAUCUGCAUUUCUCUGUAUAAGCCUAAUAGUUAAAAUUUCUUCAGGUUCUUUGGUUUCACAUGAGCAAUGAUGUUACAGAAUGAAGAACACACUUCGUCCCUCUGGAGACUUAAAUCUGCAAAGUUAAUGUGUUUCUUCAGUGCAUCAUGCUGUGCAUGGGGCUUUUUGCAGCAUGAAGGCACAGGGCAUAUAUCUGUAGUCCAUCACAUAUUUCACUCAAAUGAUGUCCUUACUAAGGCAAGAUAGUUCACUUUGGUACACGAGGCAGGAGGCAUCCUGUGUAAAUUGGCAAGAAAAAACAUACUAUGAAAACUCUAUCAUAUUAUUCCUGAAGUAUUAGUUGCAGAGAACACGGUUAUUCCUGUUUUACCUUUUUUUUCUGAACUGAAUAACGAGCUUAAUUACAUUUAAAUGCCACAUAACUGACCUCUGCCCUGACCCAAUAUUCCAGGGGAACCAUUCCUGCUCUUACAGUGGUGCGGGUGGACCUGCCUUUGCAUGGAGACCAAGACUACAGAGUUCCCUUCCUAGGACCGGCAACGCACUGGGUUGGCGACAGAGCAACUGGAAAAUAACUACAAAACGCAGACCAGAAAACAGGACGAGGAAGUGAAAUCAAGACUGCUCCACCACCCUGCGGGAAAGGGGGAGAAAUGAAUGCAAAUCCCCGAGCAGAUGCUGGGUGUAAACACACCGGAGCGGCGCUGAACUCCUCACUGGGAGACUCAGACCUCCCCCACAACCAGUCCCCCGUGCUUGCCUCCCGCCAGAGGAGAGCGGGAAGCCGCACGGCCCGGCCCGGCCCGGCCCGGCCCCGCGCUGGUGCUGAGCCCGGCGGGGUGCGGUCCCCCGUGGUGUCCCGGGCCGCCACCUCCCCGCUCCCGCAGUGGCGGGGGCACCGCGGAGAAGAGAGACACGGCACCACCAGGCACGGGGGGAGGGGGGGGGGAGGGCGCGCAGCACGCUCCGCGACACGCAUAUAUAUAUACAUACAUACAUAUACACCCAUGCACACACGACCCACCAGCGCGCCGUGCGCACGGACACACACGCAGAAGCCGCUCCGCAUCGCGCCGCGAGCACACGCGCACCGCACCGGCACACGCGCGGAAGC
ensembl:lncRNA